rnacentral:snRNA from 1 species
GGAUGUGAAGGCAAUCUGGCUGUAAUAUCUGUCACCCCACUAAUCGCCUGGGUUGAUUCGGGUGAUCUGGCUGGCUAGGCCGGUGUCCCCUUCCUCCACGUGUGUCCUCCUUAAGCUGCACACUCAGUCAAAGAGGAUGAGUAUCCUUAUCAGAGAAGGGUAGUUCCUUAGUCAAGGGUAUAUGAGUAGCUAUGCUCCUCUGUCAGAACCUCCAAACAAGCUCAAGGUCUAUUUGUAGGAGAACGUAGGAUAGUCAAGUUUUCAAGACUCUGGACACAUCCAAGUGAGAUGCUACAUGUGACAGUCAGCUUUCCUU